rnacentral:misc_RNA from 1 species
GGCUUACGUGGCUUGUACAGAGGGAUAAUGCCUGAGUACUACAAAGUAGUUCCCAGUGUGGGAAUUGUGUUCAUGACGUACGAGACACUGAAAAAGCUUCUAUCUCAAGGGCCUUUUGAUUCUUGACUUAUUCAGUAGUGCACUCUUCCAGUUUUUCUGAUUUUUUUAAAAAAGCCACAAGGUUCAGUUUUGUUAAAGUUACCGGUUAGGAAGAAGCCUAAAGUAUUGAUAUGGUAAUUAGUAUUAAACGAGAGAACAUUGA